AUUGAACGCUGGCGGCAUGCUUUACACAUGCAAGUCGAACGGUAACGCGGGGGCAACCCUGGCGACGAGUGGCGAACGGGUGAGUAAUACAUCGGAACGUACCCAGUUGUGGGGGAUAGCUCGGCGAAAGCCGGAUUAAUACCGCAUACGACCUACGGGUGAAAGCGGGGCUCGCAAGACCUCGCGCUAUUGGAGCGGCCGAUGGCAGAUUAGCUUGUUGGUGAGGUAAGAGCUACCAAGGCGACGAUCUGUAGCUGGUCUGAGAGGACGACCAGCCACACUGGGACUGAGACACGGCCCAGACUCCUACGGGAGGCAGCAGUGGGGAAUUUUGGACAAUGGGCGAAAGCCUGAUCCAGCAAUGCCGCGUGUGUGAUGAAGGCCU
rnacentral:rRNA from 1 species